rnacentral:lncRNA from 1 species
GGUGGCAAGGGAGGCGGGAGCUGCAGUGACAGCGAUGGCCCCAGGCAGGGGCCCUGGGAGCCAGCUCUCUGGGCACCCGAAGCCAGGGCUUCUCCCCCUCUCUGAUCGCCUCGGCAGGAGACUAGGGCUGCUCAGGUUUUCAGCCCGCAACUUCGAGCUCGGACUGGCUCCCCGCACGCACGCACGCUCCUUUCCUCUGACCCAAUCGUAAAAAGAGCCCACGUGGUGUCUAUUUAAGGCAGCGGAGUGGUCUGGGGAGAGGAGCCUCUGGGCGCCAAUUCCAGGGCUGAUGAGAUUCCUGGGCCGUGGAGCUGCACCUGCUGUGAAUGAGUGAGCAGGCCGGACAGGGCAAGGACAAGGGCUCCCCAGGCACCAAGGCCAGGGGCCUCCUCCGUGCCCCGGAGGUGAAGGGUGACAUAAAUCAGAGCUUCCACACUGGAUCGUGGAUCGUGCUGCCGCCCCUGUCUAGGGCUCCUGCGUGGCCUUGAGAGGAAGUGCACAGAAAGAAGAGGGGAGAAAAAUACUCUCAUCGGGCUAGGAAGACACAAUGAUCCGCUGUUAGAAAUGAAACUGUUAACUGGGGGUGCAGCACAGGCAGGCCCUAGGUUCAAAUCCCCAGCACCAGCAAAAAACAUUCGUGGAUCACUGCAUCUUCUCAGCUGUGAUGCUCUCUGGCCACCAGCAACCCUCCUGGCCCUGGUUUCCACCUAUUCUCUCCUUCCUUCUUCUCACCCUGGAUUUCCAGACUAUGGCAUCGCGAAAUCCCUGCUGUACAAAAA